GAAGGAAGGGGGCUUUGAAGCCCCUCCCUUUUUAGGGGAGGGGUUGGGGAGAGGUUCUGAUAGCUCCCUUCUUCG
rnacentral:tRNA from 1 species